rnacentral:rRNA from 1 species
AUGGCAGUUCUGCUGAAAACAACGUCAGUCCGGGUUAGUUUCAUUCAAAUCAUACAAGUUAGAGUCCAAAACAAGGGCAAAAGUGUUUGGAAAAGUAGAUACAUUGGAGACGUAUCACUUUCCUAUGUUGAGCGCCUCGCCCUGGUGCGGCACGUGCUCACUGCCAUGUCAAUCCACAUCCUGCUCGUUAUGGCUCUGAACCCCACAAUCCUCAAAAGGAUCACCACGCUGGUGCGGGACUUCCUCUGGCAUGGGCGCAAAGACGCCAGGCACGACUGUUGCUUCACGAGCUGGCCUAAACUCUCCCGCCUGCUCGAGCACGGCGGCCUUGCGGUGCGUGACCUCCACCGUACUGGCAUCGCCCUAUGCGCCCGCUGGUUAUGGCUGCAAGCCACGGAUCCGGACCGCCCCUGGAGCCAUCUUCCGCUCCCGCGCGAUGAGGAAACAAGCCACUUCUUUCGCGCGUCCACCACCUGGACCAUCGGGGAUGGAUGCACAUGCCGCUUCUGGAUCGACCAUUGGAUCGAUGGGUCUUCAGCUGCUGAGAUUCCCCCCGCUCUCGUAGCACUCGUGCCACGCCGGCAGCAGCGCCAAUGCCUCAUCUCUGAGGCCCUGCAGAACUUGCUCUGGAUCAAAGACAUCCAUGGUUCCAUGGGC